ACCUCAUCGACCAGAAGGGAUUCCUUCCGGUCGAUGAGGUGUAACAACCUCAUCGACCAGAAGGAUUCCUUCCGGUCAAUGAGGU
rnacentral:miRNA from 1 species